rnacentral:misc_RNA from 1 species
AAGUCGUAACAAGGUCUCCGUAGGUGAACCUGCGGAGGGAUCAUUACAGAGUUCAUGCCCGUCAGGGUAGAUCUCCCACCCUUGUGUAUUUAUACCUUUGUUGCUUUGGCAGUCCGCCAGGCUUUGCCUGGCUACCGGCUCCGGCUGGUAAGCGUCUGCCAGAGGACCUCAAACUCUGAAUGUUAAAUGUCGUCUGAGUACUAUAUAAUAGUUAAAA